rnacentral:rRNA from 1 species
AUACGUAGGGGGCGAGCGUUGUCCGGAAUGAUUGGGCGUAAAGGGCGCGUAGGCGGCCCGGUAAGUCUGGAGUGAAAGUCCUGCUUUUAAGGUGGGAAUUGCUUUGGAUACUGUCGGGCUUGAGUGCAGGAGAGGUAAGUGGAAUUCCCAGUGUAGCGGUGAAAUGCGUAGAGAUUGGGAGGAACACCAGUGGCGAAGGCGACUUACUGGACUGUAACUGACGCUGAGGCGCGAAAGUGUGGGGAGCAGACAGGAUUAGAUACCCUGGUAGUCCACACUGUAAACGAUGAAUGCUAGGUGUAGGGGGUAUCGACCCCUUCUGUGCCGCAGUUAACACAAUAAGCAUUCCGCCUGGGGAGUACGGCCGCAAGGUUGAAACUCAAAUGAAUUGACGGGG